rnacentral:rRNA from 1 species
UGGGGAAUAUUGGACAAUGGGGGCAACCCUGAUCCAGCCAUGCCGCGUGUGUGAAGAAGGCCUUUUGGUUGUAAAGCACUUUAAGCAGGGAGGAGAGGCUAAUGGUUAAUACCCAUUAGAUUAGACGUUACCUGCAGAAUAAGCACCGGCUAACUCUGUGCCAGCAGCCGCGGUAAUACAGAGGGUGCGAGCGUUAAUCGGAAUUACUGGGCGUAAAGCGAGUGUAGGUGGCUCAUUAAGUCACAUGUGAAAUCCCCGGGCUUAACCUGGGAACUGCAUGUGAUACUGGUGGUGCUAGAAUAUGUGAGAGGGAAGUAGAAUUCCAGGUGUAGGCGGUGAAAUGCGUAGAGAUCUGGAAGAAUACCGAUGGCGAAGGCAGCUUCCUGGCAUAAUAUUGACACUGAGAUUCGAAAAGCGUGAGUAGCAAAACAGGAUUAGAUACCCUGGUAGUCCACGCCGUAAACGAUGUCUACUAGCCGUUGGGGUCCUUGAGACUUUAGUGGCGCAGUUAACGCGAUAAGUAGACCGCCUGGGGAGUACGGCCGCAAGGUUAAAAACUUAAAGGGAAUUGACGGGGCUCAUAGCUGUUUCCU